AGUGAACGCUGGCGGCAUGCCUAAUACAUGCAAGUCGAAGGAAGUGGCGCACGGGUGAGUAAUAUAUAGCUAAUCUGCCCCUUGCUGGAGGACAACAGUUAGAAAUGACUGCUAAUACUCCAUAGCAAGGGAUGAGACUAUAUCGUAUCAGCUAGUCGGUGGGGUAACGGCCUACCGAGGCUAUGACGCGUAACUGGUCUGAGAGGAUGAUCAGUCACAUUGGAACUGAGACGCGGUCCAAACACCUCCGGGAGGCAGCCGUAGGGAAUAUCGCGCCACGGGGGAAACCCUAACGCAGCAACGGCGCGUGGAGGACGACACUUUUCGGAGCGUAAACUCCGUUUUUUAGGGAAGCGGUACCUAACUAAUAAGCACCGGCUAACUACGUGGCAGCAGCCGCGGUAAUUC
rnacentral:rRNA from 1 species